rnacentral:rRNA from 1 species
GAUUAACGCUAGCGGCAGGCAUAAUACAUGCAAGUUGAACGGCAGCACAGGUAGCACUACUGGGUGGCGAGUGGCGCACGGGUGCGUAACACGUAUGCAACCUACCCUAUACAGGCGAAUAACCUUUAGAAAUGAGGGCUAAUACGCCGUAGUAUUACAGAUGGGCAUCUAUUUGUAAUUAAAGAUUUAUCGGUAUAGGAUGGGCAUGCGUCCCAUUAGUUAGUUGGUAAGGUAACGGCUUACCAAGACGAUGAUGGGUAGGGGAUCUGAGAGGACUUACCCCCACACUGGUACUGAGACACGGACCAGACUCCUACGGGAGGCAGCAGUAAGGAAUAUUGGGCAAUGGUCGCGAGGCUGACCCAGCCAUGCCGCGUGCAGGAAGACGGCCUUAUGGGUUGUAAACUGCUUUUAUACGGGAAUAAUAGAGUGUACGCGUACAUUUAUGCAAGUAUCGUAUGAAUAAGCAGCGGCUAACUCCGUG